rnacentral:rRNA from 1 species
UAAACGCCGGCGGCGUGCAUGAGACAUGCAAGUCGAACGAAGGAUCGGGCUUGCUCGAUCCUUAGUGGCGGACGGCUGAGUAACGCGUAGGUGACCUACCCCGAAGUGGGGAAUAACUGCCCGAAAGGGCGGCUAAUACCGCAUGUGGUCGCACGUUCAUUCGUGCGAGUAAAGCCGCAAGGCGCUUCGGGAGGGGCCUGCGUCCGAUUAGCUCGUUGGUGGGGUAAUGGCUUACCAAGGCGACGAUCGGUAGGUGGUCUGAGAGGACGAUCACCCAGACUGGGACUGAGACACGGCCCAGACUCCUACGGGAGGCAGCAGUCGGGAAUUUUGCUCAAUGGGGGAAACCCUGAAGCAGCAACGCCGCGUGAGGGAUGAAGGCCUUCGGGUUGUAAACCUCUUUUGUCAGGGACGAUGAUGACGGUACCUGGCGAAUAAGCCACGGCUAACUACGUG